rnacentral:rRNA from 1 species
GGCGGGCUACCAUGCAGUCGAACGGCAGCACAGAAGAGCUUGCUCUUUGGGUGGCGAGUGGCGGACGGGUGAGUAAUGUCUGGGAAACUGCCCGAUGGAGGGGGAUAACUACUGGAAACGGUAGCUAAUACCGCAUAACGUCGCAAGACCAAAGUGGGGGACCUUCGGGCCUCACACCAUCGGAUGUGCCCAGAUGGGAUUAGCUAGUAGGUGGGGUAAUGGCUCACCUAGGCGACGAUCCCUAGCUGGUCUGAGAGGAUGACCAGCCACACUGGAACUGAGACACGGUCCAGACUCCUACGGGAGGCAGCAGUGGGGAAUAUUGCACAAUGGGCGCAAGCCUGAUGCAGCCAUGCCGCGUGUAUGAAGAAGGCCUUCGGGUUGUAAAGUACUUUCAGCGGGGAGGAAGGCGGUGAGGUUAAUAACCUUGCCGAUUGACGUUACCCGCAGAAGAAGCACCGGCUAACUCCGUGCCAGCAGCCGCGGUAAUACGGAGGGUGCAAGCGUUAAUCGGAAUUACUGGGCGUAAAGCGCACGCAGGCGGUCUGUUAAGUCAGAUGUGAAAUCCCCGGGCUUAACCUGGGAACUGCAUUUGAAACUGGCAGGCUUGAGUCUCGUAGAGGGGGGUAGAAUUCCAGGUGUAGCGGUGAAAUGCGUAGAGAUCUGGAGGAAUACCGGUGGCGAAGGCGGCCCCCUGGACGAAGACUGACGCUCAGGUGCGAAAGCGUGGGGAGCAAACAGGAUUAG